CGUCUCAGUUCAGAUUGCAGGCUGCAACUCGCCUGCAUGAAGUCGGAAUUGCUAGUAAUCGCAGAUCAGCAUGCUGCGGUGAAUACGUUCCCGGGCCUUGUACACACCGCCCGUCACACCAUGGGAGUCGGUAACACCCGAAGUCGGUAGCCUAACCGUAAGGAGGGCGCCGCCGAAGGUGGGAUUGAUGACUGGGGUGAAGUCGUAACAAGGUAGC
rnacentral:rRNA from 1 species